rnacentral:misc_RNA from 1 species
GGUUGGAUCAUUAAAAAAUUGAGUUCUUGGAACUCGCACUGGGCUAAUUCACGUUAGCUCAGUAAACCUUGUGUGAAAUGUUAAUGUCCCUAGUUAGGCGCAAGUCUUUCUAGGUUAUAUACUCUUUUAUAAUGACUGAAUCAAGAAUCUAAAUUAAAAACAACUUUUAACAACGGAUCUCUUGGCUCUCGCAACGAUGAAGAACGCAGCGAAAUGCGAUACGUAAUGUGAAUUGCAGACCGUGAAUCAUCUAAUCUUUGAACGCAUAUUGCGCUCCCUGGUAUUCCGGGGAGCAUGCCUGUUUGAGAAUCGAUAGACCUCAUCACCCCUUUGGGACUCAUCAAUGAUGAUAUCAAAGGAGUGGAUUUGGGCUUUUAUAGUUAAUAUAAAGCCUUGAAGCUAGCGUUGACCUUGGCAGUUAUUGUUACUUGGAACGUGUUUACUUGAAUUUAUUCAUUACUUAUGUUUCUCUUGACGUUAAAUAGCUGACAAGGGCGAUUCAAACAAACCUUAAUUGGACCAUACACUUUACCGUGUUAACUUGGUCUCAAAUCAGGCAAGAGUACCCGCUGAACUUAAGCAUAUCAAUAAGCGGAGGAAAAGAAACUAACAAGGAUUCCCCUAGUAACGGCGAGUGAAGCGGGAAGUGCUCAAAUUUGAAAUCUCACAGGUUCCCUGUGCGAAUUGUAGUUUAGAGAAAUGUUUUCGAGGGUAAACUAAGCAUAAGUCUCCUGGAACGGAGCAUCGUAGAGGGUGAUAAUCCCGUCUUUGGCUUAGUCCUUACUUUCAUGUGAUACAUUUUCAAAGAGUCGGGUUGUUUGGGAAUGCAGCCCAAAAUGGGUGGUAAACACCAUCUAAAGCUAAAUAAUGGCGAGAGACCGAUAGCGAACAAGUACCGUGAGGGAAAGAUGAAAAGAACUUUGAAAAGAGAGUUAAAUAGUACGUGAAAUUGUUAAAAGGGAAACGUUUUAAACCAGUAUUGAGCUUUUGGGACCUCUUCAGUCUUUGGACUGGGGAGCUCUUCCUUGAAUUCAAGUCAACAUCAGUUUGACUUGGAGUAAACACUGCAAGGAAGGUAGCCUUCGGGUAUUAUAGCCUUGUAGCAUGCUCCGGGUUAGACUGAGGAUUGCAGCGCAGUCUUGGGGGAACCCGUCGCCUUUUGAUAAAGCUAUGUAGACUACUUGUAGACUAUAUUUCUUUAAAGGAAGCCCGGCUGGUGUACCACUCUUGCGCUUAAGAUGUUGACGAAAUGGUUUUAAGCGACCCGUCUUGAAACACGGACCAAGGAGUCUAACAUAUAUGCGAGUAUUUGGGUGGCAAACCCAUAUGCGUAAUGAAAGUGAUAAGGUGGGAUCCUCGGAGCACCAUCGACCGGUCUGGAUAUUUUUUGAUAGAUCUGAGUAAGAGCAUAUCUGCUGGGACCCGAAAGAUGGUGAACUAUGCCUGAAUAGGGUGAAGCCAGAGGAAACUCUGGUGGAGGCUCGUAGCGAUUCUGACGUGCAAAUCGAUCGUCAAAUUUGGGUAUAGGGGCGAAAGACUAAUCGAACCAUCUAGUAGCUGGUUCCCUC